CCCUUAGAUGUUCUGGGCCGCACGCGCGCUACACUGAUGCAUUCAACGAGUUUCUUCCUGGUCCGAGAGGAAUGGGUAACCUUUUGAAAGUGCAUCGUGAUAGGGAUAGACUAUUGCAAUUAUUGGUCUUCAACGAGGAAUUCCUAGUAGACGUAGUUCAUCAGACUGCAUCGAUUACGUCCCUGCCCUUUGUACACACCGCCCGUCGCUCCUACCGAUUGAAUGCUCAGGUGAGCCAUUCGGACUUUCAUCAUGCUGGUUUCCAGUUUUGAUGAAGGAAAGUCUUGCGAACCUUAUCAUUUAGAGGAAGGAGAAGUCGUAAAA
rnacentral:rRNA from 1 species